UUAGAAUAAUGACAUAAUGAACUUAAUAAAAAAACACUUAGUUUAGUCAAUAAACAAUAAAAUGCAACAUAUUUGUGAAUCAAAACGACAAUACAAUACAUCAGUCAAUAAACAAUCAAAUGCAACACAUGUGUGAAUCAAAACGACAAUAAUAAUAAUAAAUUAUCAGUCAAUGUCCAGACUGAAUGACGCCGUAAAAUAGUUUGCAUGUUAGUUAGGUGUAGCCUUCAACACCGGAAAUUGAGUCACGAAAUCAAUGUAUGGAAAACGAUUGUUCGCAAAUAACAACCACAUGUUUGAGGGUUAGUUUGUCAUCCAAGUGAACCUCGCCGUUCGUGAUUUGAGACAUCAAAGUCUGAAGAGUAAAAUCAAGACCAAUUUCAUCAGUCGAAUAUAGUACAAUAUACGACGAAGACAUCAGGGGAGACAAUCAUGGAUCGACAUCAGGGGAGCACAUAAUGGAUUAAGUACAAUAUACGAAGAAGAAGACAUCAGGGGAGCACGUAAUGGAUCGACAUCAGGGCAGCACGUCAUGGAUCGACAUCAGGGGAGACAAUCAUGGAUCGACAUCAGGGGAGCACAUCAUGGAUCGACAUCAGGGGAGCACGUCAUGGAUAAAGAACAAUACACGAAGAAGAAGACGUCAGUUAUUUCUUUUUCAAACGUAAUGGAAUUUUCUUGCACGCUGCUAUUAAUUUAUCAUUUGCAGUGUCACGCAUCAUGGAUGCAGAUUCGAUCAUGCGCAACCAUUUCAUGUCCUCUUUCCCUAGGGCAAUUUCCCUCAGUCUCACAUAAAUUAAAUAGCAUGACACGAAUGUACAUUUGUAUCGACUGGUGCCCUCGGGCUCAAACUUCCAGGCAAAACCAGAAAAUUGAAGGCAUUCAGUAGUUCCACACGUUCAAACUUGAAAUCACAUCCCCUAGCCUGCAAGAUUGACAUUGCCUGAAACUCUGUGAGCAUUAAUCGCAGAUCUGCUGACAUUCCCUUCCAGUCACGGGGAGGCCAUUUGAAUUUCGGUUCCAGGAAGGUAACUGUCUCAUCCUGGUCCCACUCUCGCCGGGCUGGAGGAAACAAAGGCAUCGCGCCCAUGGCUAGCAGUUUCUUGGCUCUCAUUUGGUUUGAUGGUGUUGGGGGAAGACUUGGCACCAGAAAUUCUGAGUUCUCACUUGAAAUAAUCUCAGUUGGUCUUGAAUGAUGAAUGAUGGCCUUUAUUGGGGUCUUAAUCGACCUUGAAACCUCAACGCAGGCUGCAGGUUGUGAUGUAAUACUCGAAAUGGGUGGCACCGAAGACACGGACGAAGACGAAGUUGCAACAGGCACGACGGAGUGGCCGGCGAGAUAAUCGUCUGCAAAGGCGGUCUCCAAAUAGUCGGCCUGAAUUAGAAGCUGUCCGGGGUAGCCCAUACUGUCUUCAAACGUAGAAGUAGCUGUGAUCUCAACUUCAUCAAAAAGUGGAGUUGAGCCACCUGACAAAUCAUCCGAUACCAAGACGAAAGAUGGGACAUGGUUGAAUUUGAUUGAAGUAAUGUGCUCAACCCCAACUCCGAUUCCUCGAGCGACUUUCUCCUUGGUGUCUCCAUCCACAUCCACAGGACUGGUAAACUCGUCAAAGGGACUGUUGAGAGUGGCAGCUGAGCUAGCCUUUUGGCCAAACGUCUCAGGAUUAGAGGAUGGUUAAAUAUGUCAUCAGACAAUUUUAAAGAAAAUGACUGAUUGUCAAAUUGUCCUUCAACAGUAGAAGAUCCAUGUUUAAUGGAAAUAUAAGAGACCGACAGGGUGCUGAAAGUGUUUUUUGACCCUGAAGAAAUAGUUUGCCAAAAGCUGUGGUCUGUUGAACGUGAUUGUCCAUAAACCCUAACGAAAUCAUCCUGGAAAAUUGCUAGGCAAGCCAUCUCCCUGACAUGGAAGGCCGUCUCCGGAACCUUCGUAUCUGGGUGAACCAUAAGGAUGUGGCGUUUCAUAUCAGCUGCGCGUUUAAUGGUUACAUGGCAAAAUGGACACUCCACUCCCAAGCGCUGAUGUACAGUCUCGACAUGUCUCUCAAAUUGACGUUGAGUUGCCAAUGUGGCAUGGCACAACCAACAAUUUUGGUGUUUCAUUCUGUAAAUUUACAAAAAGGUAUCAACGAAAAGUGUCCACCACCCUAAUAAAAAGGCAACACAAGUACUCAAAGGUCAAUUUCGAACAGACUCCAAUACGUCGAAUCGGGUUAUACAACCAAACAGCUUGGCCGACCGAAAAAGACCUCUUUUUCGCCUUGAUGUCAUAAUGACGCUUCUGAUAUGCUGUGUUCUUACGAAGAGACUUCCUCGCAAUUGUAUGACAGCUCACCAGGACCGUCUGUAACUGGCUACAAUAUGACUCUGGAUCACGUGCCUCAAUUGAAGAAUUUGGUGACCCGAUAAAUGCCUCUACUGGUAGGGUUACAUCACGCCCAAACACCAUUUUGUUGGGAGUUACACCAGUACUGCUGUGCACGGAAGCACGAUAAGCCAUGGUUAGCUGUGGAAGGUACUCAUCCCAUCUCUGUUGGUCAUCUUCACAAUAAAUGGCCAACAUGGAUUGAAGAGUUCUGUUGAAUCGUUCUGGACAACCAUUACUUUGGGGUCGAAGCGAACUUGUUGUUACUUUGUCGAUGUGAAGAAAAUCACACAUAUCUUUAAAAAGCUGUGAAGUGAAAUUUGUCCCUUUAUCACUUAAAAUUUGUUGAGGACAACCAAACCGACAAAUGAAAUUAUUUACUAAAACAUCAGCAAUAGUUUUUGCUUCUUGGUUAGGCAGGGGAUAAGCCUCAGUCCAUUUUGUAAAAUUGUCCACUACUACUAAAAUAUAUUUGUUGCCUUUCAGUGUUGUACUUAAAGGACCUAACACGUCAAUGGAAAUUCUCUCCAUUGGUUCACCAUUGAUAUAAUUUCUCAUUGGGGCUUUAGGAGCUGUAUUAGACUUACGACAUGCACAUUUAUCGCAUUUAGUGAUAUACUUAUAAACAUCCUCUUUCAUACCUGGCCAAUAGAACGAUUGUUUAAGCCUAUGUAAGGACUUUUCUAAACCCAAGUGUCCAGCAGACGGAAUGUCAUGCGAAUACUUAAUAAUUUCAUCUCGUUUCGUUAACGGUACAAUAAGUAAAUUUUGUUCGAAGCCAGUUUCCGUGUCUAUGAAAAUACAAUACAAUAUUUGGUUAAUUACUUUAAGUCUAUCCCACAUGCGCCAAAGUGUUUUAAGAAAAGAAGUACCAUCUGAUAUUUGAUCCCAUGAAGGCCUAUCUAAUUGGUUUGUCUUAGCAUUAAGAAUAGGACUAAUAUUUGGGUCAUUUAAUUGGGCAACUAAAAGGUCAUCAGGGGUCCAGCCAUUUAUAACUAUUUGUGCGUCUUGUUGUAUUGCUCGUAUAGUUACACUGUUAUUUUGGUUUAUGAUUAAAUUAUUAUCACAAUCA